GAUGAACGCUGGCGGCGUGCCUAAUACAUGCAAGUCGAGCGAACAGACGAGGAGCUUGCUCCUCUGACGUUAGCGGCGGACGGGUGAGUAACACGUGGAUAACCUACCUAUAAGACUGGGAUAACUUCGGGAAACCGGAGCUAAUACCGGAUAAUAUAUUGAACCGCAUGGGUCAAUAGAGAAAGACGGUUUUGCUGUCACUUAUAGAUGGAUCCGCGCCGCAUUAGCUAGUUGGUAAGGUAACGGCUUACCAAGGCAACGAUGCGUAGCCGACCUGAGAGGCUGGUCGCCCGCCCUGGAACUGAGACGCGGUCCAGACUCCUGCGGGACGCAGCAGUCGGGAAUCUUCCGCAAUGGGCGGAAACCUGACGGAGCAACGCCGCGUGAGUGAUGAAGGUCUUCCGAUCGUAAAGCUCUGUUAUUAGGGAAGAACAACUGUGUAAGUAGCCAUGCCCGUCUUGACGGUACCGAAUCAGAAAGCCACGGCUAACUACGUG
rnacentral:rRNA from 1 species